rnacentral:lncRNA from 1 species
GAUGCAGGCAUGUCUGUCUUCUCUCAGAGUGUGAAGAGUGCAAAGACCUUAUAGAAUCUGUGCUGGAGGAGGAGCUGCAGUUUCAGGAGAGGGAGCUGACCAAAUUGCCAAGGCCAGCAGCAAGGCUCCGGAUACAUGAUCCCUUAAUUCAGGCUCAGGCUGAAGAACUGACCCACUUACGACAGAAGAUACAAGAAGGGAGAGGUGUCUGCUACCUUUUCACCCAGCAUGUGAAGAACACAGUCAAGUCUUUUGAGGGCCUUCUCAGGAACACUGGCAUUGCCUACUACCAGAGA